GCUAUAAUCUGUUAAGCCAUGGGGCCAUGAGAAGGUUUAGGUGCUUUAAUUCCCCUUACCUACAGGAAUGGUCAUUCCAUGGAUUUUGUCUGCCCAACCGGCAUAAUACCUCAGGGUUUUUAUGACUCCCUGGAGAUCGACGUAGAAAGCUUGCAAGAAUGGUUUACCACUGUUCAGGGAUUCCAUAGUCUGGAGGACAAGAAAAAGCAAGAAUUGCCCUGUCUCUCUCAACCAAGUCCGCCAGCUUAUCCAAAAGAUGGCCUCUUUCCGAUGCAUCCAUUCUCCUCCAAACAGAGCCCAGAGAAAAUGCGAGCCGGGCUGCCCUCACUGCUUUGUCCGUAUCGACCUGUGAAGAAGGAAGAAAAAAACUGAAGGCACAGAGGUGGGAAAGUGGAUCCUGGAUAAAAGUCCUGCCCAAGUCAAGACUCAAAGCUGAAGACUCCAAUUAUCUAUAAAUCACUUGAAUUUCCUGCAGAGAAAGAGAAAAAGGAGGAAAGAGCGAGACAGACAGAAAAACAGAGACAGAGGAUGUGCCAAGUGAAACAUUUGAUACCUGUCCUAAACCAAAUUUUUCUCAAAAGCAACUAGGAGUUACCUGAUACCUCAAAACCAAGCUUAGAAGAAACAUGUUGCCAUUCUUUUUGGCUUAAUAUUAAAUGAAAGAAUUGUCUUUUAAUUGUUCCACGAGUAUAAAAUGUGUAACGCUGCACAUCUGAGAUGAUGGCACUGUGUAUUCUGAUUUA